UAAAGAAAGACAGGCAUGCAAGAUCGCUGAAGAGAUGGAAUUUCUGAAGACUAAACCCGGUUUAGUGAGUGGCUGAAUUACAACAUAAAUUGAAUUCCCAAGCUCACAAGAUGUUUGCUGUUAAACAACUGCUCUAUCUCCAUUCAAGGAGGUUAACUGUACUUCACCUGAGGAACUUAUAAUGAGCUCCCCUAAAGCAGUUGCCUCACAAGACGCUAUUGAUUCUCUUCAAGACUUCUCCUCCCCUGCCACCUGUCUUUGCUUCUAGCCCCAUCAGUAGACUCAAGUCUUGCAGUUCCCAAAAGGUAAGGCACACAAUCAGACAUGUAAGGAGAUGUAUUAUAUUCCCAAAACGACUUGAUUUUUCUGGUUCGUAUAAUGGAAAUCUGAAAAUACGUGUAAGAAUGGAUAUUAAGGGCUUGGAAAUUGGAGGAAGGAGUGUAAAGUCAAAUCAGGUACAAUUUAUUGGAAUGGGUCCACUAAGCAGACACUCUGGAUUCAGUGUUGUGAUUUGAGGAGUUAGAAGGGCCUCUAACACUUUGUUAGAUUGGUUGGUUAAAGCAUGGGUUGAAGCAUGAAAAAUGGCCUGUAUUAAAUAAGUUGAAAUGCCAGAAGUGCAUUAGUAUGCUUUAUAGUAUGGUAUCUAAAGUCUUAGGGAAUUGGAAUGUUAGAGUAGAUUUAUCACAUAAGACUUGCUCACCCACCCCUGAAGGUCGCAACUUGUGAGACUGUGAAAAAUAAAUUUUGAGAAGGGCCCUACACCCUUGAAGAACACUGUGGUCAGUCUUCUCUGUAGGUCAGGGAUUACAAGGGGAACUGCUGACACUGAACUGGCGUUCUUAAAUGCAAUGGAUAUAAUUAGAUCCUGGAGUGGCAAGAGCCAAGUGGUGGCACUUAAUGACUAAAGACAAGGUGGGCAUGGUUACCAUAAUGGACAGCAGAGUCAAAGCAAUAAUUAGAACAAUCUGAUUCACAGAUCUGUGGCAUUAGCUAAUUGAUCAUGGUGUUCCUACA